rnacentral:rRNA from 1 species
UACGUAGGGGGCAAGCGUUGUCCGGAUUCAUUGGGCGUAAAGAGCGUGUAGGCGGCCAGGUAGGUCGGUUGUGAAAACUGGAGGCUCAACCUUCAGAGGUCGACCGAAACCAUCUGGCUAGAGUCCGGGAGAGGAGAGUGGAAUUCCUGGUGUAGCGGUGAAAUGCGCAGAUAUCAGGAAGAACACCCGUGGCGAAAGCGGCUCUCUGGGCCAUUACUGGCGCUGAGGAGCGAAAGCGUGGGGAGCGAACAGG